rnacentral:lncRNA from 1 species
UCUACCUCCAGGGUUCAAACAAUUCUCCUGCCUCAGCCUCCCAAGUAGCUGGGACUACAGGUGUACACCUCCACACCUGGCUAAUUUUUUUGGUAUUUUAGUAGACACAGGGAUUCACCGUGUUGCCCAGGCUGGUCUCGAACUCCUGAGCUCAGGCAAUCUGCCUGCCUUGGCCUCCCAAAGUGCUAGGAUUACAGGCAUGAGCAACCGCGCCUGGCCAAGUUACUUCCUUUAUAGGAUUAAACUGGAGAGGACUCCCUUAUCAUGCCUGCUCAGGAAAGUAAACAAACAAGUGACCAAGGAAGACUGUGGAAUUACAUGGCUCCUUCAAACCCAGCUCCCUAAGACCAGAUUUCAUUUUAGGCUUAUUUACCCUUGGAACGAUAGAACCUAUUUGUAACGUCCUUGACUAAGAAUGGCUCUGGAAUAGAAAUGAGAACUGGUGGAAGUAAGAGGAGCCAGACCCGCGCAGGGCAUUGCUGGCCAGAGAUGCUGCUGACUUCAUCUCCGUACUCAGCAAAGGCACCAUCGAAAUUCAUCAAGAGAAGGCCAAGAGGUGUGGUUUGGCACUGUUGGUGCUCAGAAUGCAACAUCCCGAAGUAUGGUACUUUGGCAUGCUGAGUACUUUGUCCUAAGGAGAUUGGCAGGCCUCAGAAGCAAGAUCUCUCCGACCUUCUCCUGCUCUCCUGUCUCCCACCUGUUUUUCUCCCUCUGGAGGAAGUCACAGAAAUCAGAAUUCGUCCUCUGCAAGACUCUCAUUCCAGAGGGGUCUUGCACCGUAACCAUGAGGAAGGAAUGCUACACAGAGGCCAAGAACAACCUGAAGAGGCAGGCCUUGCUGCCUCCACCCCCAGACUAUUGUCAUUAGAGCGUAUCUUUUGUCCAACUGCAUUUCUACAUGGCCUUCCACUCUCCAUCGAACCUAAGCAUAAGAGACAGUUUUCCCUGGGUCUCUGGGUCUUCAACUCUGAAGGCUCCCCUGUCAUGUAAAACUUUGAUUAAAU